CAAGUUUUCACAUUGAGUACAUUCCCGAUUCAGUUGGGGUAACACAUAUCAAUUAAUUUAAAAUGUAGUGCAUGUCUGUGCUAGUACAUGUUAUUUAUGGUAUUUCCACCUUUUCUAGUGAAGACCUAUUGGUAUUUGUGUCUCAUUAUUAUUAUAUUUGGUUCUUUCCACUUUCUGUGGAAAGACCUAUGUAUAUUUGUAUGAUUAUUAAGGUCUUUCCAUUUUUCGGUGGAAUAGAUAUUUGUAUUUUGUUUUUUACCGUCAAAUUUUGUUCUCGCGUACAAUAUAUUUGUUUCGCCAUAUGUUCGCUCAGAUACUUUUCUUAUAUAUUAUUAAGCAGUUUCUGCGCUAUUUGUUAUCUUCACUCAAUACUAAGUCGAACAAUUUUCUAUGGAAGGAGUUACUUCCUAUUCACUGUUAAUCAAAUUGUGUUGCAUCUCCUUCGUAACAAAAAAGGUACUAGACAAAUUAUUUUUCUAACAUUGUUCGUUUCCCUCAGGAAUUUUUGGCUAAUUGAAUCUAGAUGAUUCGAUGAAAUAUUAUAUGCGAGUAUCUACCUUAACAAAUAUUUGUCGAUAUGUGUUAAUUAACCUUUUAUAAUUAAAACUGUAACCGUAUAUACCCUGGAAGGUUUGUAUUUGAGGCCGCUAUGUUUUUUAUGAGUUUAUGAAACAGAGAACAGAACAAUCAAGGAAAUUAGUGCUGUUAGAUCAUCAUCUACAAAACAGCAUCAAAAUAUAAACAGUAUCAAGUCAUCAGACAACCUUGCGCAAAGUACUUAAGAACAAAUAGUAUCAUUGUAAAUUAUCCGGUUUGAUUAAAGAUGCUCUGCAAAGGAUUUCAAAGCAAAUCACGUGCUUCUCUAGUGUUACACGUCGCGAAGUCAGAUGCAAAAGACGGUCGACUGUAUGUAACUUCAUGUUUUAUGCAAAAACAUGUAUUGGUAAUACAUUCAAUAUCGUCAGUUCUAGUGAACUGUCGAGUAGUUACAGAUGGGUGCACUCCUAACCUGUACAGCAAGUUAACUUGGAAAACCAGUCAUUGACUGGUCAAAGUUAACCUGUGACCGAAUAUAGGACUGUCUGACCAGUCCUAGGACCAAAAUCUAGUUAACUUGAAAAGCGACUUGGACCUAGGACUGUUUUUAUGUCUGCCAAAAGUUAACUUGGAAACAGGUCCGCUUUGAUAAAGUUCUUCGAACCAGUCCUGUCAUAAGUUAACAUAAGUUAACUUCGGACCAAGUCCUGUCAUAAAGUUAACAUAAGUUAACUUGGAAAACCGGUCCUGCCACAAAGUUAAUUCUGCUUGAACAAAUCCGAUCAAAACCAGACCUGUUCCAAGUUAACUUUUGACUGGUCUGGUCAACACUAAGUUAACUUGUAACCAGGACCGCUCUUGUUGAUUUAAAAAAAAAUAUUUUUAUAUCUUUGUUUCGUAGUAGAAACAUCGAAAAUAAAGUAAUUUGAAAAUUAAUACUUCCGUUUUAUGAACAGGAUUAAACACAAAUAAUUGAAAAUAAGUACGCACAGAACGUAACACAAAUUUAUCUGUGAUCUGACAAUCUAUCUAUUAUAAAAACGAUCUCGGUUACAAUGAUAACAGGCACUGAAUAUAUAUAUAUUCCGAGAUCAAAUCAAUCAUAUAUGUAUAUUUUUGAAAGAAGAAUAUUUGAUGUUAGGUGAUACGUCCUUGUUAGUUAUACAUCCUUGAACUAUGCAGCCACAAUCAGCAAUAGUUUAAUUCAUUUAAAUAAUGACUACAAAUUUUUGUUCGCUCAAAUUAAGGGUGCCAGCAUGUGUUCUUUUUACUUAAAAUACUGAUACGUAACAAAAAUUUCAGUAGUUUUGAUGCCUCCAGUUGACUUGUACAACAAAAUUAUUUGACCGCAUCACCAAAACUGACCAUAUAUGCACUUUAAUUUGUAAAUCUAUAUACCCGCAUAGUAAAUCAGCAAUAUUUUUAUGUCAGAGUCAAUGUAUAAUACAAUCCUGACAAUGGACAGCAAAUUGGCAAUAUAUACAAAAAUUUUGGUUCGCAUAAAUUAGGAUACCAGCAUGUCCUCAUUUUAUUCAAAUUAUUGAUACGUAACAAAAUUUCAGUAGUUUUGAUACCUCCAGCUGACUUGUACAACAAAAUUAGUUGACCGCAUCCACCAAAACUGACCAUAUGUGCACUUUAAUUUGUAAAUCUAUAUACCCUCAUAGUAAAUCAGCCAUAUUUUUUAUGUCAGGAUUCAAUGUAUAAUACAAUCAUGACAAUGGACAGCAAAAUUGCAAAUAUAAUAACAAAAAAUUUUGGUUCGCAUAAAUUUAGGAUACCAGCAUGUCCUCAUUUUAUUCAAAAUAUUGAUACGUAACAAAAUUUCAGUAGUUUUGAUACCUCCAGCUGACUUGUACAACAAAAUUAUUUGACCACAUUACCAAAACUGACCAUAUGUGAACUUUAAAUUGUAAAUCUAUAUACCAGCAUAGUAAAUCAGCCUUAUUUUUAAUGUCAGGAUUCAAUGUAUAAUACAAUCAUGACAAUGGACAGCAAUAUUGCAAUAUAAUAACAACAAAUUUUUGUUCGCCUAAAUUAAGGGUACCAGCAUGUCCUCUUUUUACUUAAAAUACUGAUACGUAACAAAAUUUCAGUAGUUUUGAUACCUCCAGUUGACUUGUACAACAAAAUUAUUUGACCGCAUCCACCAAAACUGACCAUAUGUGCACUUUAAUUUGUAAAUCUAUAUACCCGCAUAGUAAAUCAGCCAGGAUUCAAUAUAAUACAAUCAUGACAAUGGCAAUAUUGCAAUAUAAUAAAACAAAUUUUGGUUCGCAUAAAUUUAGGAUACCAGCAUGUCCUCAUUUUAUUCAAAAUAUUGAUACGUAACAAAAUUUCAGUAGUUUUGAUACCUCCAGCUGACUUGUACAACAAAAUUAUUUGACCACAUUACCAAAACUGACCAUAUGUGAACUUUAAAUUGUAAAUCUAUAUACCAGCAUAGUAAAUCAGCCUUAUUUUUAAUGUCAGGAUUCAAUGUAUAAUACAAUCAUGACAAUGGACAGCAAUAUUGCAAUAUAAUAACAACAAAUUUUUGUUCGCCUAAAUUAAGGGUACCAGCAUGUCCUCUUUUUACUUAAAAUACUGAUACGUAACAAAAUUUCAGUAGUUUUGAUACCUCCAGUUGACUUGUACAACAAAAUUAUUUGACCGCAUUACCAAAACUGACCAUAUGUGCACUUUAAAUUGUAAAUCUAUAUACCCGCAUAGUAAAUCAGCCAUAUUUUUUGAUGUCAGGAUUCAAUGUAUAAUACAAUCAUGACAAUGGACAGCAAAAUUGCAAUAUAAUAACAAAAAAUUUUGGUUCGCAUAAAUUUAAGGAUACCAGCAUGUCCUCAUUUUAUUCAAAAUAUUGAUACGUAACAAAAUUUCAGUAGUUUUGAUACCUCCAGCUGACUUGUACAACAAAAUUAUUUGACCACAUUACCAAAACUGACCAUAUGUGAACUUUAAAUUGUAAAUCUAUAUACCAGCAUAGUAAAUCAGCCUUAUUUUUAAUGUCAGGAUUCAAUGUAUAAUACAAUCAUGACAAUGGACAGCAAUAUUGCAAUAUAAUAACAACAAAUUUUUGUUCGCCUAAAUUAAGGGUGCCAGCAUGUCCUCUUUUUAUUCAAAAUACUGAUACGUAACAAAAUUUCAGUAGUUUUGAUGCCUCCAGUUGACUUGUACAACAAAAUUAUUUGACCGCAUCCACCAAAACUGACCAUAUAUGCACUUUAAUUUGUAAAUCUAUAUACCCGCAUAGUAAAUCAGCCAUAUUUUUUAUGUCAGGAUUCAAUGUAUAAUACAAUCAUGACAAUGGACAGCAAAAUUGCAAUAUAAUAACAAAAAAUUUUGGUUCGCAUAAAUUUAGGAUACCAGCAUGUCCUCAUUUUAUUCAAAAUAUUGAUACGUAACAAAAUUUCAGUAGUUUUGAUACCUCCAGCUGACUUGUACAACAAAAUUAUUUGACCACAUUACCAAAACUGACCAUAUGUGAACUUUAAAUUGUAAAUCUAUAUACCAGCAUAGUAAAUCAGCCUUAUUUUUAAUGUCAGGAUUCAAUGUAUAAUACAAUCAUGACAAUGGACAGCAAUAUUGCAAUAUAAUAACAACAAAUUUUUGUUCGCCUAAAUUAAGGGUGCCAGCAUGUCCUCUUUUUACUUAAAAUACUGAUACGUAACAAAAUUUCAGUAGUUUUGAUGCCUCCAGUUGACUUGUACAACAAAAUUAUUUGACCGCAUCCACCAAAACUGACCAUAUAUGCACUUUAAUUUGUAAAUCUAUAUACCCGCAUAGUAAAUCAGCCAUAUUUUUUAUGUCAGGAUUCAAUGUAUAAUACAAUCAUGACAAUGGACAGCAAUAUUGCAAUAUAAUAACAACAAAUUUUUGUUCGCAUAAAUUUAGGAUACCAGCAUGUCCUCAUUUUAUUCAAAAUAUUGAUACGUAACAAAAUUUCAGUAGUUUUGAUACCUCCAGUUGACUUGUACAACAAAAUUAUUUGACCACAUUACCACCAAAACUGACCAUAUGUGCACUUUAAUUUGUAAAUCUAUAUACCCGCAUAGUUAAUCAGCCAUAUUUUUUAUGUCAGGAUUCAAUGUAUAAUACAAUCAUGACAAUGGACAGCAAUAUUGCAAUAUAAUAACAACAAAUUUUUGUUCACCUAAAUUAAGGGUGCCAGCAUGUCCUCUUUUUACUUAAAAUACUGAUACGUAACAAAAUUUCAGUAGUUUUGAUUGCCUCCAGUUGACUUGUACAACAAAAUUAUUUGACCGCAUCCACCAAAACUUGACCAUAUAUGCACUUUAAUUUGUAAAUCUAUAUACCCGCAUAGUAAAUCAGCCAUAUUUUUUAUGUCAGGAUUCAAUGUAUAAUACAAUCAUGACAAUGGACAGCAAUAUUGCAAUAUAAUAACAACAAAUUUUUGUUCGCAUAAAUUUAGGAUACCAGCAUGUCCUCAUUUUAUUCAAAAUAUUGAUCAUAACAAAAUUUCAGUAGUUUUGAUACCUCCAGUUGACUUGUACAACAAAAUUAUUUGACCGCAUCCACCAAAACUGACCAUUAUGUGCACUUUAAUUUGUAAAUCUAUAUACCCGCAUAGUUAAUCAGCCAUAUUUUUAUGCCAGGAAUCAAUGUAUAAUACAAUCAUGACAAUGGACAGCAAUAUUGCAAUAUAAUAACAACAAAUUUUUGUUCACAUAAAUUUAGGAUACCAGCAUGUCCUCAUUUUAUUCAAAAUAUUGAUACGUAACAAAAUUUCAGUAGUUUUGAUACCUCCAGCUGACUUGUACAACAAAAUUAUUUGACCGCAUUACCAAAACUGACCAUAUGUGCACUUUAAUUUGUAAAUCUAUAUACACCAUGAGUACCCGCAUAGUAUUAAUCAGCCAUAUUUUUAUGUCAGGAAUCAUUGUAUAAUAUAAUCAUGACAAUGGACAGCAAUAUUGCAAUUUAAUAACAACAAAUUUUUGUUCGCAUAAAUUUAGGAUACCAGCGUGUCCUCCUUUUAUUCAAAAUAUUGAUACGUAACAAAAUUUCAGUAGUUUUAAUACCUCAUGCUGACUUGGAAAACAAAACUAUUUGACCAAAACUGAUCAUAUGUGCACUUUUAUUUGCAAAUCUAUAUACCCGCAUACCAUUGUACCGAGCGCCUUAAUGUCUUCUCCUGGCGCUCCUGUUCACAUUUUAGUAGGACCGUAAAUGUACACGUAAUCAAUAAUAUUGGAAAACCAUUAAUGCAAAAAAUAUUCUGAAUAAAUUGAGAAUGUCAGAAUUUCAUCUCUUUAUUUAUAAUAACAGUCACAUCAUAUAUAGGAGUUCAUGAUGGUGUACGUGUAAAACAAAACUAUUAUGCCACAUCAUCAAAGUACCAACACUGACAUGUCUGAAUUCAUUUGUACUAUUUACAAUGAUUUAAUAAAAAAAAAGUAUACGAGGUUCUCUUCUUGGAAUCUAUUAUGUCGGUUGAUUGAUUUUGUUUAUAGUUAAACGUCAAGUGGCAACUAUUUCAUUAAAGUGCGCAUUGAGUAUAUAAUUUUAGGACGUCCCAUAUAAAUAUCGGCAAUGACAAAUCUCUCGAUAAAUCUGACGAAUUUGACGAGAUUGUUGAUAGUUUUACCACAUCGUAUGCUUACGGACACUGUACAAUUUCUGUUAGAAUAUUCUGCGGGAAAUAGAAUAGUAAAUCCAAUGCAAACAAGUUGAAUAUCAAUGAAAUAUCCAUGCAAGUAUAAAUUUAUGCAUAAAGUAAAAUUUAGGAAGGGACAGGUAAACAACGGGGAACGAAGUAACGUAGACAAUGUUGCCGAUAUCCCGUGAUAUAAGAAUAUUGUUCCGAUGCGUUGGAUAACCUUUCUAUCCGCCUUCUAAUAAAAAAAAACUCUCUGUGAUCGUAUAGCCAUUUUUUAUUUAUAUAAAAAUACAUGUAUAUAUCAAAUAAAAGAGAGCAUUUGUAUAAUAUCUAGUAGAGUCUAGCGAGUAAAUAAUAAAUGAUAUCUGUGGAAAAACAAUGCGAAUGUUGUUUACAUAUUUUAAUGAAAGCUCAAGUCUGAUAUGAAAACUCUUAUAACGAUAAUCUGUCAUAAGCAGACCUGUCCUCAGGUCUGGUCAAUAACAGACUUGUCCACAGGUCUGGUCAAAAGCAGACCUGUCCUCAGGUCUGGUCAGGAGCAGACCUGUCCACAGGUCUGGUCUGAGGCAGACCUGUCCUUAGGACUGGUCAAAAGCAGACUUGUCCACAGGUCUGGUCUGGGGCAGACCUGUCCUCAGGACUGGUCAAAAGCAGACUUGUCCACAGGUCUGGUCCGGAGCAGACUUGUCGAUAGGUCUGCAGCAGUCCUAAAAAAGCAGACCGUAGGUCUGGUCCACCAACGACGAAGUUAACUUGCUUGACUGCUUAAAAAUUCUCAAGUUAACUUAGAAAGCAGUCAACAAGUUAACUCUAAGUUAACCUUUGUCAAGGUUAGGACCGCACCCAUCUGUAGAUACUAAAACAUUAUUAGGUAUUGAUAAUACAUUACUUUGAUUAGGUAUAUGAUGGUGAGAUUUCAAGAGAUACAUACCUUGCUGCAUUGACGGGAGGACCUAAAGGAGGCAUAGAAUUUACUUCAACUUCGAAUACGAUGAUCAUUCGCUUCUAUUCUGAUUCUUCUAUAGUCUAUUCUGGGUUCAAUGUCAGUUAUCAAACAUUACAGUAAGUGACAGCUAGUCCUUUCAAAUGAAUGAUAUACACGUUCAAAUGAAAUAGUCACAUAUACAUUUUGUAAUUCAGAAGCAUUUCAAACUAGAAAAGUCAAUAGGCAUGAUUGGGAAUCGGAUGAGUAGUCCAGAAUGUGCCAACGAAUCGAAUAUCGUAUAAAUUUAGAAAUAAAACAUCUACUGAAAAUGUAACCAACAAGAUCAACACGUCUCUUGCAUAUUAUAAUGAUGUUUUUGUUUUCUACUGACCACAUAUAUAUAAACGUAGAAUGAGUACCAUCUUGUUAUAGAAGUAAGAGAGAGGCAAACGAUACAAGAGAGACAUUCAAACACAUAAGUCUGAUCAACAGAUAACACAAAGGCUAACAAAGAAAAAGACCAACAGACAAAUAAAAGUACACUUAACACAACAUACCAAACUAAAGACUAAACAACUAUAACCCUUCCGUAACCUGGGGGUAAUUUCAGGUGCUCCGGAGAGGUUAGCAGAUUCUGCUGUACACGUGUAACCCGUCGUGUUGCUUUGUUCGAAGAUUAACCGUUAUAGACAUUUGAUUCCGAGGCACUCUUAACAUGAAAAAAAAUAGUGGAUACAUUUAACAGUCUUGAAAAGUUAUGCAUCAUAAAUUAGCAAUUAGAAUAUGUUAAAUUUGGUACUUCUCAUUUGAGUUUAAGUUAUGAGUAUGAAUUUCGUUUCUCUUUAAUUUCUUUUUUUCAACAUGUUCAGGUGCCUGACAGUGAUUAACUUUUUUAUGAGAUAACGUUAGGUAGAAAUUUUAUAGAAUUAUCAAAAUUAUAUAUUUGAUGCCUAUACCAUUUGAUUACCUUUUUAUUAAACGCCUACAACAUAAAUCUUUUAUGUAAAUGCUAUUUUGUAACGGUGUAUCCAACGCUUUCACGAAUUCAUGUUAUCAAUUAUUAUUAUUUAUGAAUUAUAAUUAUUCUCAUUUCAAUUCAUGUCUCUUUUGCAGAUGAUUCUCUUACACAACAUGCACAAGUGGAAACACUAUAGGAAGGAAAAUGAUAAUAAAAUAUGUUACCUGCAGCAAACUUCGUUUACCGAAUUUAUAAUCAAUAGUUUGAAUUUUAGUUUAGAACAAUCACUGCUACGUAUAAAAAGAAUGAUACUGUAAAUUCAGAAAUUAUAGCGUUCAUUUAUUAUUGCAAUUUUGUAAUUUUAGACUGAAAGGCG
rnacentral:lncRNA from 1 species